rnacentral:rRNA from 1 species
UACGUAGGAGGCAAGCGUUGUCCGGAAUUACUGGGCGUAAAGCGCGUGUAGGUGGUGGGACAAGUCUGCUGUGAAAGCGCCUGGCUUAACCGGGCGAGGUCGGCGGAAACUGUCCGACUCGAGGACGGUAGAGGGGGGUGGAAUUCCCGGUGUAGUGGUGAAAUGCGUAGAGAUGUGGAGGAACACCAAUGGCGAAGGCAGCCUUCUGGGCCAACACUGACGCUCAUGCACGAAAGCGUGGGGAGCAAACAGG